rnacentral:rRNA from 1 species
CCUGACGCAGCGACGCCGCGUGAGUGAAGAAGGGUUUCGGCUCGUAAAACUCUGUUGUCAGGGAAGAAUGCCGACGGGAGUAACUGCCCGUCGGGUGACGGUACCUGACCAGAAAGCCACGGCUAACUACGUGCCAGCAGCCGCGGUAAUACGUAGGUGGCAAGCGUUAUCCGGAAUUAUUGGGCGUAAAGCGCGCGUAGGCGGUUCGUUAAGUCUGAUGUGAAAGCCCCCGGCUCAACCGGGGAGGGUCAUUGGAAACUGGCGGACUUGAGUGCAGAAGAGGAGAGUGGAAUUCCAUGUGUAGCGGUGAAAUGCGCAGAGAUAUGGAGGAACACCAGUGGCGAAGGCGGCUCUCUGGUCUGCAACUGACGCUGAGGUGCGAAAGCGUGGGGAUCAAACAGGAUUAGAUACCCUGGUAGUCCACGCCGUAAACGAUGAGUGCUAAGUGUUAGGGGGUUUCCGCCCCUUAGUGCUGCAGCUAACGCAUUAAGCACUCCGCCUGGGGAGUACGGCCGCAAGGUUGAAACUCAAAUGAAUUGACGG